UACGGGGGGGGCAAGCGUUGUUCGGAAUUACUGGGCGUAAAGGGCUCGUAGGCGGCCAACUAAGUCAAACGUGAAAUCCCUCGGCUUAACCGGGGAACUGCGUCUGAUACUGGAUGGCUUGAGUUUGGGAGAGGGAUGCGGAAUUCCAGGUGUAGCGGUGAAAUGCGUAGAUAUUGGGAGGAACACCAGUGGCGAAGGCGGCUCACUGGACCGGAACUGACGCUGAGGCGCGAAAGCGUGGGGAGCAAACAGG
rnacentral:rRNA from 1 species